UCCUCCUUCUUCUUCUCCGGCCCUCGCGAACGGAAGCGCCCUCUCCGCAGGCCUUGAAGGGCAGCGCCGCCUGCGCGACGCCGCCAAUCAGAAAGCGGGCCAAGCCAGGAGGGCGGGCCUUUCGGCGGCCUUCGCUUCUUUGCCGGCGCGAGGCGCUUCUCCUUGGCUGACGUGGGCUUCGGCCUCCAGGAGCGAAGAAAGACCCCGCGAGCCUUUCCCCCGCGUGGAGGGGCGUCGGAGGGGUCGCCGCCGGCCGAUAUAAAGUGGUUUUCUUCCGAGACAGGCGCCUUGACUUCUCAUCCUUUCGGCGCCUGCUAAAAAAACCUUUUGGUGAGGCCAGGGUCAGCUUAGAAAGUUGAGGUGUCCUAAUGUAGCUGGGCUGCUAUUAGUGGAAUGGAGGAGAGCGAGGGACAAGUCUGCAAGGCGGGUUGUGCUUAUGCAAGAUUCGUCUCUUCUGAAAGCCUUUUCUCCCCCUUUCUCUUUGGCAGUAAGACGUAGUCCAGAACCACUCUCCUUGUGUCUUACUCUACUCACUAAAAUAGCUGGAAUGUCUUAUUUAUGAGACCUAAAAGCUAUUCAUAAUAUUAUCACACAAUAUAUUUAUGAUGUUCUUGGGCAGUGCUAUGUUGCAGCAAUCUUUGUGUUGGACAACAACUCUUACUGCAAACUCAAAAAAUAUAUUUUGGGUUUUGCAAUGGCAGUUAAAAGAUCGCUAAACCUCUUGCCAUGCCCCCAUAUAUAGAAGAAACUUAUUUGUUUCUUCUAUAUAUGUGACUAAGAAGAAUGGACAGUUUCUUAAAACAGUCCCAAUCCAAUGCUAAUAUUUAAUGAUAUGUUGUAGUAUUUUAAAAUUUCAUUAAAGGUUUCAGAUCAAAUUAAAUGGCAGCAUUCCUAUUUGUUUAAAACUAAUAUUUAAUGUGUCAAUUAAAUUAAAUUUAAUGUUUCAAUUAUUUAAAACCAAUAAUUCAUGUUUCAAUUAAUUAUAAAAUCACUGGGUUUACUGAUGGAUCCAGCUUGUAAUUGUGGUCCAUGAGGCCUUUGCGGCAUGUAGCACCUUCCAUCAGCUAAGGCCAUUGCACCAGCUACAAUCCUUCCUGAUCAGAGAAUGCCUGACCACAAUAAUAUGGGCCUGCUUUUGAAGAUGCCUCAGGAGUUUAGACUUCAGCUAAAUGAAACCAACUUUAAAGAACAUCUACCAGUCCUGAAACUGUUUUACUGGUAUGUUUCCUAGCACAAUUCAGACAAGUGGUGCUUACCUUAAAGUGCUGUGUAGCCUGGUAAUAGAAGGACUGGCUUUUCUGGGUCUCUCCACCUACUGAACUUAGACAGAUGGCAAGAGUUGAGGGCACACUCCACUAUGAAGUCCUGUUUAUGAAACUCAUUCCCCAGGGAGACUUACCUGGCACCUGAUCUUAUGUCUUUCUAGUCUUUUUAUUUUCCCCAAGUCUUUUUUUAAAAAACCUCUGUCUGUGUGUUUUUCUGCCUCUACUGUUUUUCCCCUGCUUUAUUUUUUCUGUUAUUUAUUGUUUAGAUUGUUUGUAGUGAUUUAAAUGCUACCCUGAGAUGGUUCUUUCCUAUUGUAGAGCAGGUUACAACUUUCUUAUAAUAAAUGAACUGGUAAAUUCUAUUCAGGAAAGUCAUUCAGUCCAUCUCCAAGGGCAGAUAGCUAAACCAGAUCCCCAGCCCUGCAGAAGCUGGCCAGAAGAGCCUAAAAUCUAAGCCUUGGCCAGGUAACUCUCUUCCCAGGGCAACAGCCCUUUCCCGACAUGUAGCUCUCAUAACAAUAAUAAUUGCACCAAGCAGGAAAACAGAGCCACCCUCACUAGCCUCAUCCCCACCAUGGUGUCCCUGUUCUCCAUGUGUUGUGAUUACAUCCUCUGCUUUUUUCCUUGGCGGAAGCAGGGGGGUGCAUACCCCUAAACAUCCUUGUACUUUUGCCCAUUUACUGUAUUUAUUUUCUCCGAUUUGAACUAUAAAAUGAUGAUUUUCUUGAGUCAAAAUGAGACUACCCCUAAACAUUUUUUUAAAGAAAAAAAGCACUGGUUACAUCUGUAGAAGUGUCUCUUCCCUGCAUGUAGGCUCCCCUUGGAUGUAGAGCUCUGCCACGUAUGAGAAAAACCUAUGAGGGCUAUAAAGUUCUAAGUUACACCUAAUUGAUAUUGAAGCCCAGCAUCAGUAGCUGAGGUUCAGGGGGAUUAGUGGUCUUGUGUGUCACCUUUGAGUGAUGCCAAAGGGCACUAAAGGGUGUGGAGCUCUGGACUGAUACUCGGAGCAGGCUUUUAGGAAUGAGCUGGUCAAUUUUCCACUCCAGAAAUUUCCUUCUUCAAUCAAUGCUCGGUUGCCCUCAACUUUCUGUGAUUCCUGUGUCUUCUUAACCCUCAUCGGAAAAUUCUGGGAGCAUUAUUUAAUCUGCAAAGCUUCAGCAAAACAUAUGUGCCUACCUGGUUAUGAUUCCUUUAUCUGACACUGUAGCAGGGAUGGGGGAAGUUGUGGCCCUCCCACCCAUCCCAAUUAGCAUGGUCAGUAGUCAGGAAUUAUGGGGCUUGUAAUCCAACAAUACCUGGAGGGUUGCAGGUUCCCUCAUCCCUGCACUAAACUAGUAAAGUGGGUUGCAGCAGAUGUUUCUAUUAACCCCAAGCCUGUUUCAUUAAGUCACAGUGAUGCAGCAUGUUUGUAAACCCAUAUUUUCCACAUACGUGUGACCUGUUGUAGGCUGAAGCAGCCAUUCCCAUGUGCACUGUAUUGAUUCUGUAAUUUAUGACUGUGUGAAUAUGCCCUCUAAUCUCCUCCCUGAUAAAACCUCACAACUAUUCAGAGAAUGGACAUAUGACAAAUUGUUUAUGCCUGUUCUUUUGGCCAGUCUACUUGAUCACAUCAUUUUGGGAUCUUGCCUGAUGAGAGAAGAAGUUCCAUUGAGGGAGGCUUUAAAGGGAGGAGUAGAACAUUACAGUCUUUACUUAGCAAUUAUAUUUGGAUGUAAUGGCUCCCAGAGAGCUAGAUUCAUUAUGUGUGCAUCUGUUUUGCCUUCCUGCAGCAAUCUCAAGUGGUAUAUAGUAUAUUUAUUAAGAGAAUAACAAAUAAAGUUUUGUGACAAAUACAUGUUAAAAUGUAGACAAGUUCAAAUUCUAGCCUGCCUUAAUAUUAGAUCCAGAAAGCACGUGAGUGAAGCAUCUUCUGCCUUCUUCUCUAGGCACAGUUAGUCCUUUCAUAGCAGAUUUAUUGCAUGGAGGGGAAGUCCGCCAAAAAACCAUAAAUUUAAAAGCUACAAAUUUCUACACUCUAAAGCUUGUCUAACACCUUGUUCAUGUUUUCUUCCUUAUUCCAGCACCAAUUCUGUAUUUAAAUCUACACAGAUCCUUAUAUGAAUACACUGUAAAAGAUAAAUAAAACAGGUCAUUGCUUUCAAUGUA